CUGGUAUCUGGUUGCACUCUACAAGUGUAGGUAAGGGUAAUUGUAAGAUCUCUCCUAGAGAGGACACAAUAAAUCCAUGGGCCCUUCUUCCAAAGACCUCCGUAGUGCCGCUACAAGUGCCUAAAAUGUAAGGGUGAACCUCUCCUCUUAUGUAAAAUAGAUCAAACAGUUCGGAUUGGGCAAGUGAUCGAUUGCUUUGAUCAUCUAAGAUAGCAU